rnacentral:lncRNA from 1 species
UGCAAGGUAAUCCUUUUUCUGUUACUGGCAACACUGGCACCCUAGGAGUCUUCACGCAUCUCCCUAGCAAUGGAGAAGAAAAUUAGUAAAAAAAAAGCUUUUCCACAUGCCCUCCACUGCACUACUUCUAGGAAUCGAGUAAACAAGUAUCUCAACCCUAUAAUAAUAGCUGUGAUUUCUCAAAAUACAUAAAUACUUUCUAUACCCCAAACUGUUGUUUUAAUAAAUACAUAGGCAUAUUUCCGCAACACAGUCUGGAACUACGCA